rnacentral:rRNA from 1 species
UGAGUUUGAUCCUGGCUCAGAAUGAACGCUUGCGAUAGGCUUAACACAUGCAAGUUGAACAAAAAGACUAUUUUUUUGUAGCGAACGGGUGCGUACAAUGUAGGAAUUUACCUCUUUAAAAAAGUUAAAUGCUUUGAAAAAACAAGUUGUUGUAAAGAGAUAAGCCUGCAGAAGAUUAGAUAGUUGGUGUGGGAAGGGCGCACCAAGUCAAAGAUCUUUAGCUGGUCUUAGCGGAUGAUCAGCCACACUGGGACUGAGACACGGCCCAGGCUCCCAUGGGAGACAGCAGUGAGGAAUCUUGGACAAUGCACGAAAGUGUGAUCCAGCUAUAUCGCGUGGACGAAGAAGGGUAUUUUGCUUGUAAAGUCCUUUCAGCAAUAAACAUGUUUUUACAUGGAGCCAUAAUGACAGCUCUUGCAGAAGAAGCCCCGGCUAAUUUCUGUGCCAGCAGCCGCGGUAAUACAGAGGGGGCAAGUGUUAUUCGGAAUAAUUGGGCGUAAAUGGCGUGUAGGUUGUACUUCGCUGUUAUCGGUUAAAUCCCCAUCGAUAUGGUGGGUAAGGCUGAUAGAACGGUUGUACUAGAGAGUGAGAGAGGAUACGGGAAUUUCGAGUGGAGAAGUUAAAUUCUUAGAUAUUCGAAGGAAGGCCAACUGCGAAGGCACAUAUCUGGCUCAUUUCUGACACUGAGGCGCGAAGGCGUGGGGAGCGAAGCCGAUUAGAUACCGGCGUAGUCCACGCAGUCAACGAUGCUGUAUUCCUCUUUGGAAAGCAAAAAAACUAUUUUUUUAUGGGCAUUUUAUUAUGUCCAUAAAAAUCUAUUGGUAUUCAUUUUAUUUUAAAGUGUCAGGCACCGAGAAGAUGGUGUCCUGGCGAGGUAGCUCAGUUGGUUAGAGCGCAGGAUUCAUAAUCCUGUUGUCGGCAGUUCAAGUCUGCCUCUCGUCAAACAAAAGCCGUAUUUUGUGGAUGCCUUAGGUUCAUAUGCACAAUGGGCGCUUUACGAUGCGAAACGUUGUAUCUGAGACAUCAUUCUGAUAGGUACAAAUCCCCACAGCGGUAAACCGCAAUAUUUUGACACGAGGAGAACUGAAACAUCUAAAUAUCCUCUAGGAAAAGAAAUCAACCGAGAUUCCGUUAGUAUUGGCGAAAGAACGCGGACAAGGCAUAUGAUUAUGAAAUUGAAAAACAUGUUGGAAUACAUAGACCAAAGAAGGUAAAAGUCCUGUAUUAUGCCUUUCAUAAUCAUCAAGAGUAGAACGUUAGACUGUUUGAAAA